GAUUCGUGCCGGUUGGUUGGUAGUGCCCUCCCUCUCCGCCCGCCUCCUCGAAUUCCGGCGUUGCCGCCGCAAACUUCCGGGGCCGGGCGCCGGAUCUUCGCGCACACGAUUUGCCCGGAGAUGGCCGCCCGGGGUGCGUGCGGCGAGUGCCGCAGAAGGCAGUUGAAUUCGACUUGCUGCAGCGUGGGCCUUCUCCGUCGCGGCACCCGGCUCCGGCGCCGUGCCCACGACGAUGACCACAUCAGCGCCCUUCCCGACGACCUCCUGCUCCAGAUCCUCGGCUGUAUCGGCACUAAAGAUAAUAUCUACUAAAUAUUUGAUUGGCACUAUGUUUUUCUAUGCAAUGUUUUUUGAUAAUUGGUAUUGCGCUUUAAUUAGAUGGAUUUUUUUUGCGAUCUUAAUUAGAUGGAUCUUAUAACAAGCUAAAACUACACUAUUUGUGGGACAACAUUUGAAAACCAAAAACUACAUUUAUUUUGGGACGGAGGGAGUAUUAUAUACAAACCUAUGGUCCCAGUUCAACAAAGUCCAACAAGGAAGCCCAAAAUACAAAAGAAUCGCUCUCUCUCUCUCUGCUUGCGGCUCGCCCCCGUCCCCCUGGCUUCAUGUCCGCCCCAAUGCGCCUCCGACCCUCGGCUCUCGGCCAUUGGCCCUCCGCCUGUCCCCAGACCGGCGUCCGGCAGUUCGUCUCCCACCUCCCGACCUCCCCAUCUCGGCAACGGCAACUCCGCCAGUGGCAGACCGCAGCUGCCUCGCCGCCCUAGUGCCAACGCCCCAGCACCAGCACGAAGGAGGCCGCCACUGGUUAUUAUUAUGGAUUUGUUAUGGCCAGUAUAACUUAAUCGUUCAUUAUAUUGUGUAUUAACUUCGAUUUUUUGCUUUGAUUUUUUUUUAUAUUUGGCAUACCCAGCCGCAAAUUCCUGGCUCCGCCACUGGGAGCCUGGAAUUAAAAACGCCAGAGCACCUUGAACACACACUGGUCACGAACAGCAGGGAAAAUACACGUUCGCAGCCACAGCACUGCUCUCAUGGCGACAUCCUCUCGCUGGACAUAGCAGCUGCUGAUGAUUUGGGUGAUGUUGCCUGGACCUUUGAGAAAGAGAUUUCCCGAAUUCCAGUGAGAAACCUUUCUGUUUUAGAGCUGAAAAUUGCAACAAGAGGGCAUUUUUAUGGAGCAAUGGUGCUGGAUCUACUUCGACUUUGCACCUCUAUACAAAAACUUAAGGUAGAAUUAAAUCGAUAUGAGGUGAGAAAAGAAUGCUCCGUAAAUUAUUGUAAUUGUGAUCUGCCUAACAACUGGAAAGAUCAAAUUAUAUCCCUGACUGCUCUUAAAGAAGUAGAAAUUGAUGGCUACGAAGGAGAAGAGCAUGAAGUUGGUUUAUUGAAAGUAUUGUUGAUAUGUGCUGAAAUGCUUGAAAGAGUGACCAUCAGCUUGUCUAGAAAUGUCCCACGAAGUUGCAGUGCAUACUUGGAACUCCCUGGCAUUUUAAAGGCACAUCCUUCAGUGAAAUUCAAUAUUUAUCACUGGUGUGGUGACCAGGUCUUGUUUGAAUGAUUAGAGUGCUCCUUAACGUAACAAGGAACACUGAAGGUGAUUUAGUUUCGCCAGACUUCAACCAGCGUACUGGUUCAUCGUUGGAUGUGGACCAUCCAUUUUAAAUCGGAGGACUGCAAUUUGAUUCAAGUUAUCUAGCACGCUUAAGUGUGUUUUUCUGUAAUAGCUAUAAGCAGUGUGUUUACCACUGAUGACCCCCAGUCUGUAUAGAGGACUGGAGGGAGCAGGUGGGGGAGGUAUCGUGAAGAACUCAAUCACAAAACCUAGGGCUUUAGGAGUAGCUGUGGGACUCGUCGUCUCGCUGGCGGCAGCCGGCUGUAUCAAGUAUUCUCUGAACUUGACCUCGAUUCAGUUUACCUGCAGUUAUCCGAUCCAGAUCUACUAUCUCGUUCUCG